AGAUGAAAAGAACUUCGACCAAGACCAAAAGGUUAACCACCGCAACGACACGUGGCUUUGUGCAAGCACUGAUGAGCCAGCUCGCGCUCAUGCUGCUCUCGCAGGGACGCGAGCUGAGAGGCAUGGAGGGAGCGGACACGAUCCAGCUCACGCGACCGCUCCGUCGCCAUCUCCUGGUACUGCUGCAGGCGGGAGUGCAAGUCCGUCUCGGAGCUUCGGAAUGCCGCCUCCAGCCGCCUGUUCUCAUCCUGCAACAUGGCACGAGUCAACACUCGACUAGCACAAAAAAUGACGUCGUGUUAGCCACAAAACCAGUGUCAGGAACAUGCUCAGGCAUUGUAUGGCAAAACUACACAUUGUGGAUGCAGAGAAUGACAUAAAGCCUAAAAUUUGUCCCUUCGCGCUUUUCCUAACACUGAAAUCUGUGUAUGAGCAGCAAUGAGUUGGCAAAUAAAGCAGUGCUGAUUUCUUAACAUUCAUUUUACACUAACUCAAAUGGCGUCCAAAUAAAUUUUGGAUAAGUUGCAAAAAUGCA